UACGUAGGGGGCGAGCGUUGUCCGGAAUUAUUGGGCGUAAAGAGCUCGUAGGCGGCCUGUUGCGUCCGCUGUGAAAGCCCGGGGCUUAACCCCGGGUCUGCAGUGGAUACGGGCAGGCUAGAGGUAGGUAGGGGAGAAUGGAAUUCCCGGUGUAGCGGUGAAAUGCGCAGAUAUCGGGAAGAACACCCGUGGCGAAGGCGGCUCUCUGGGACGGUACUGACGCUGAGACGCGAAAGCGUGGGGAGCGAACAGG
rnacentral:rRNA from 1 species